rnacentral:rRNA from 1 species
GUGCCAGCAGCCGCGGUAAUACGGAGGAUCCGAGCGUUAUCCGGAUUUAUUGGGUUUAAAGGGUGCGCAGGCUGAUCGAUAAGUCAGGGGUGAAAAAUUUCAGCUUAACUGGAAUCGUGCCUUUGAUACUGUCGGACUAGAGUGUAACUGACGUGACUGGAAUGUGCCGUGUAGCGGUGAAAUGCUUAGAUAUGUCACAGAACGCCAAUCGUGAAGACAGGUCACGAAGUUACUACUGACGCUCAUGCACGAAAGCGUGGGGAUCAAACAGGAUUAGAUACCCCUGUAGUCCG